rnacentral:rRNA from 1 species
GAUGAACGCUAGCGGCAGGCUUAAUACACGCAAGUCGAGGGACAGCACAGGUAGCAAUACUGGGUGGUAACCGGCAAACGGGUGCGGAACACGUACACAACCUUCCUUUAAGUGGGGGAUAGCCCAGAGACAUUUGGAUUAAUACCCCGUAAUAUAGUUGAAUGGCAUCCUUUGAUUAUUAUAGCUACGGCGCUUAAUGAUGGGUGUGCGGCUGAUUAGAUAGUUGGCGGGGUAACGGCCCACCAAGUCUACGAUCAGUAGCUGAUGUGAGAGCAUGAUCAGCCACACGGGCACUGAGACAAGGGCCCGACUCAUACGGGAGGCAGCAGUAAGGAAUAUUGGUCAAUGAACGCAAGUCUGAACCAGCCAUGCCGCGUGAAGGAUUAAGGUCCUCUGGAUUGUAACCUUCCUUUAUUUGGGACGAAAAAGGGCCUUUCUAGGUCAACUGACGGUACCAGAUGAAUAAGCACCGGCUAACUCCGUGCCAGCAGCCGCCGUAACAC